rnacentral:rRNA from 1 species
UGAACGCUAGCGGCAGGCUUAACACAUGCAAGUCGAGGGGUAGAGUAGCAAUACUUGAGACCGGCGCACGGGUGCGUAACGCGUAUGCAAUCUACCUUAUACAGAGGGAUAGCCCAGAGAAAUUUGGAUUAAUACCUCAUAGUAUAACACAACCGCAUGGUUGAGUUAUUAAAGUUCCAACGGUAUAAGAUGAGCAUGCGUCCUAUUAGCUAGAUGGUAAGGUAACGGCUUACCAUGGCUACGAUAGGUAGGGGUCCUGAGAGGGAGAUCCCCCACACUGGUACUGAGACACGGACCAGACUCCUACGGGGAGGCAGCAGUGAGGAAUAUUGGACAAUGGGCGCAAGCCUGAUCCAGCCAUGCCGCGUGCAGGAAGACGCAUCUAUGGUGUGUAAACUGCUUUUGUACGGGAAGAAACACUCCUUCGUGAAGGAGCUUGACGGUACCGUAAGAAUAAGGAUCGGCUAACUCCGUGCCAG